CCGCGAGCGGAGGUCAAAUUUAGUUCGAUAUUCUUUCAUUCCGGCCCUCAGAUCUUUAGACAUUAUCGGUGUUGAGUAGAAUACAGGAGUGAAUAUUGCUUGAAUGUGUAAGCUGAACAGAAUGGAGGAUUGGGCAAUCAUUAUCCAGUAUCCGAACGAAAGAAGAGCCAGGAUAACGUGUCGAUCCUCUGGGAUCAACGAUGAGAAAUACAUCGGAUAACGUGGUGCUGCCGCUACAUGUGACGCAAGUGCGAUAGGAAUGCUCAUCAUGAACAGUGUCCUAUGCAGACAUACAGUAGCACAACGAAGUUAAACAAACACUGCCUAGUUAAGCUCAACCUUUCUUACCGUAAUAUCUUCUUAAAUAGGUUAGCAGCAUGUUUAAGAGGUCAGAUGUGUCCUGAGCUUGAAAAAUGGUCACCAUCAUCAGGAGAGAAGUAAACAUAACGUAACUAUCAAUUCAAUAUUCAAUAUUCAAUUUAUUAGCAUUUGAUAUGGCCAUGAGCCCUCAUCAAUAGAAAUUACAGAGCUAGAUAUGUAAAUGUAAAUAAAGUAAAGUAGUCAGAGGAAUAGUGGGAAAACCUGGCUAUGGUGUAGAGCCAGGAAAACCACUAU